UUUCCGUAGGUGAACCUGCGGAAGGAUCAUUACAGUAGUCGCCCGGGUUGCCGCAAGGCCUCCCGGGUAACCUACCACCCUUUGUUUAUUACACUUUGUUGCUUUGGCAGGCCUGCCCUCGGGCUGCUGGCUCCGGCCGGCGAGCGCUUGCCAGAGGACCUAAACUCUGUUUGUCUAUACUGUCUGAGUACUAUAUAAUAGUUAAAACUUUCAACAACGAAUCUCUUGGUUCUG
rnacentral:misc_RNA from 1 species